AACGAACGCUGGCGGCAGGCCUAACACAUGCAAGUCGAACGCCGUAGCAAUACGGAGUGGCAGACGGGUGAGUAACGCGUGGGAACAUACCCCUCGGUUCGGAAUAACUCAGGGAAACUUGAGCUAAUACCGGAUACGUCCGAGGUUUUGAUCGACCUUGGAGAAAGAUUUAUCGGCCGAAAGGAUUGGCCCGCGUCUGAUUAGCUUGUUGGUGAGGUAAUGGCUCACCAAGGCGACGAUCAGUAGCUGGUCUGAGAGGAUGAUCAGCCACAUUGGGACUGAGACACGGCCCAAACUCCUACGGGAGGCAGCGAGUGGGGAAUAUUGGACAAUGGCGCAAGCCUGAUCCAGCGAUGCCGCGUGUGCG
rnacentral:rRNA from 1 species